GACGAACGCUGGCGGCGUGCUUAACACAUGCAAGUCGAACGGAAAGGCCCUGCUUUUGUGGGGUGCUCGAGUGGCGAACGGGUGAGUAACACGUGAGUAACCUGCCCUGGACUUUGGGAUAACUUCAGGAAACUGGGGCUAAUACCGGAUAGGAGCUCCUGCUGCAUGGUGGGGGUUGGAAAGUUUAGGCGGGUGGGGAUGGACUCGCGGCUGAUCAGCUGGUUGGUGGGGUAGUGGCUUACCAAGGCAUUGAAGGGUAGCCGGCCUGAGAGGGUGAACGGCGACAUUGGGACUGAGAUACGGACCAGACUGCUACGGGAGGCAGCAGUGGGGAAUAUUGCACAAUGGGCGGAAGCCUGAUGCAGCAACGCCGCGUGCGGGAUGACGGCCUUCGGGUUGUAAACCGCAUUAGCUUGUGACGAAGCGUGAGUGACGGUAAUGGGUAAAGAAGCACCGGCUAACUACGUG
rnacentral:rRNA from 1 species